rnacentral:rRNA from 1 species
CACGUAGGGCGCGAGCGUUGUCCGGAAUUAUUGGGCGUAAAGAGCUCGUAGGCGGUCUGUUGCGUCCGCUGUGAAAGCCCGGGGCUUAACCCCGGGUCGGCAGUGGAUACGGGCAGGCUAGAGGUAGGUAGGGGAGAAUGGAAUUCCCGGUGUAGCGGUGAAAUGCGCAGAUAUCGGGAGGAACACCGGUGGCGAAGGCGGUUCUCUGGGCCUUACCUGGCGCUGAGGAGCGAAAGCGUGGGGAGCGAACAGG